GCGGAUGUAGUUCAACGGCAGAACACGGGCUUCCCAAGCCUGAAGUGGGGGUUCGAUUCCCCUCAUCCGCU
rnacentral:tRNA from 2 species